rnacentral:rRNA from 1 species
UACGUAGGGGGCUAGCGUUGUCCGGAAUCAUUGGGCGUAAAGCGCGUGUAGGCGGUCCGGUAAGUCCGCUGUGAAAGUCGGGGGCUCAACCCUCGGAUGCCGGUGGAUACUGUCGGGCUUGAGUACGGAAGAGGCGAGUGGAAUUCCUGGUGUAGCGGUGAAAUGCGCAGAUAUCAGGAGGAACACCAAUUGCGAAGGCAGCUCGCUGGGACGUUACUGACGCUGAGGAGCGAAAGCGUGGGGAGCAAACAGG